UAACUUAGUGGCGGACGGGUGAGUAACGCGUGGGAAACCUGCCCUGUACCGGGGGAUAACAUUCUGAAAAGAAUGCUAAUACCGCAUGACAUAUCGGAAUCACAUGAUUUUGAUAUCAAAGAUUUUAUCGCUUGAAGAUGGACUCGCGUCCGAUUAGUUAGUUGGUGAAGUAACGGCUCACCAAGACCGCGAUCGGUAGCCGGACUGAGAGGUUGAACGGCCACAUUGGGACUGAGACACGGCCCAGACUCCUACGGGAGGCAGCAGUGGGGGAUAUUGCGCAAUGGGGGCAACCCUGACGCAGCAACGCCGCGUGAAGGAUGAAGGUUUUCGGAUUGUAAACUUCUUUUAUUAAGGACGAAAAAUGACGGUACUUAAUGAAUAAGCUCCGGCUAACUACGUGCCAGCAGCCGCGGUAAAACGUAGGGUGCAAGCGUUGUCCGGAAUUACUGGGUGUAAAGGGAGCGCAGGCGGACCGGCAAGUUGGAAGUGAAAACUAUGGGCUCAACCCAUAAAUUGCUUUCAAAACUGCUGGCCUUGAGUAGUGCAGAGGUAGGUGGAAUUCCCGGUGUAGCGGUGGAAUGCGUAGAUAUCGGGAGGAACACCAGUGGCGAAGGCGACCUACUGGGCACCAACUGACGCUGAGGCUCGAAAGCAUGGGUAGCAAACAGGAUUAGAUACCCUGGUAGUCCAUGCCGUAAACGAUGAUUACUAGGUGUUGGAGGAUUGACCCCUUCAGUGCCGCAGUUAACACAAUAAGUAAUCCACCUGGGGAGUACGACCGCAAGGUUGAAACUCAAAGGAAUUGACGGGGGCCCGCACAAGCAGUGGAGUAUGUGGUUUAAUUCGAAGCAACGCGAAGAACCUUACCAGGUCUUGACAUCCGAUGCAUAGUGCAGAGAUGCAUGAAGUCCUUCGGGACAUCGAGACAGGUGGUGCAUGGCUGUCGUCAGCUCGUGUCGUGAGAUGUUGGGUUAAGUCCCGCAACGAGCGCAACCCCCGCCGCGUGUUGCCAUCGGGUGAUGCCGGGAACCCACGCGGGACCGCCGCCGUCAAGGCGGAGGAGGGCGGGGACGACGUCAAGUCAUCAUGCCCCUUAUGCCCUGGGCUGCACACGUGCUACAAUGGCCGGUACAGAGGGAUGCCACCCCGCGAGGGGGAGCGGAUCCCGGAAAGCCGGCCCCAGUUCGGAUUGGGGGCUGCAACCCGCCCCCAUGAAGUCGGAGUUGCUAGUAAUCGCGGAUCAGCAUGCCGCGGUGAAUGCGUUCCCGGGCCUUGCACACACCGCCCGUCA
rnacentral:rRNA from 1 species